rnacentral:tRNA from 1 species
GCUAGAUUAGCUCAGUUGGCAGAGCGAUUGAUUUGUAAUCAAUAGGUUCCUAGGGUUCGAGCCCCUAAUCUAGCUCCA